GGGGGUGAAAUUGGCUUCGACGGGAUUAAAGAGACACUGAACUGCGCAUCGUGUUCUCCGCAGACACGUAAAACGGCGGUACCUAAACCUUAACUGGCGAAUAUAAUUACGCCUUAGCUGCGUAAAUAAACGCAGCCGUUCUCUGUUCUCCUUCGUACCGGGGUUCAGAAGGACGCCGCUUAGGUGCGAUAGCCGGAUCAACCGCCCUUGUUGAUUUGGUGAAUCCGCAUUUGCGAUUAAUGGGCAAGCUUAAAGUGAUCCUUGUCUGUUUUGUAGCUUUAAGCUAAAAUAAAAACAGACUAUGUGUGUAGAAGUUCAUUGGAUCUUAAUUUCGGACGCGGGUUCGACUCCCGCCACCUCCAC
rnacentral:tmRNA from 1 species